UGCAAUUGGCAUUUGAAUUGAAAUUUACAUUCAUCAAUAUGAAAACUAUUACAUUGCAAUGAACAAUUUAAAAAUUAUUACAUUGUUUGAAACUUAUUACAUUGUUUACCAACUACAAAUAAUUUAUAAUCUGAUAUAUAGUAACAGCACAAUCUUCCAACACAUGUUUAUUGCUUCGCGGAUUCUUUCUUUCGGUAAUCGAAAUGAGGUCUUCUAUUAUUGUUUCCAUGUUCCAAUUUGACAUUUGCUCUGAUUAUUUAGUUUUGACCCACAUACAUGCUUUGGUUUAUUGUAAGUCAUCCGGCAGCAUUCAAGACAUGCACAAUAAAAAAACUGAUAAAAUUUACAUGCUGCAAUCUACAUAGUUUCCUAAUGGCAUAUAAAUGCAUGCAAGACAAGNNNNNNNNNNNNNNNNNNNNNNNNNNNNNNCAAAUGAGCCCUAAAAGUAAAAAGAAAAAGAAAGUGCAUGAAUGUAGUAUAUCUAACAGCAAAGAUCUCUUGUGACACUUUUUAAAAUAUAAAGAUUAAACAAAUACUUAAACAAAAAUAUAUAGAUUAAACAAAUAUUUACCAAAAUUGAGACAUGAAGCUAUAUAAUUAUUUGCAGCUAUCUUGCGGAUAGGUUCGUAUAACCUUAAUAAUUUUUUAAUGGCAGCAUAUAAGUUGGAUCAUCUCCAACAUAUAGUAGCUGCCUUCUUGACCGUCAAAUGUAUGUGAGAAGAAUCCAAAAUGGUAACCAAUAAUAGUGAGACACGUGUGAUGAAGAUUUCGUCCAAAAAGAAUAAAUUCUUAAAAAGAUUAUCUUGAAAUUUUUCUAAAAAAAUAUUUUGAUAUAUUUAACAAAAUAAAACUAAAAAUAAAAAUUAUUUAAAUUAUGAUUUAUAUUUCAUUAAUAUUAUUGAGGUUGAUUCUUAAUUUUCAAGAUAUAAUAGUUAAUAUUUAUUAAACACUUUAGUAUUAUAGUUUAAAAAUUACAGUUUCCCAAGCUUAAUUCUAAAUGAAACCUUAAUUAGAAGUUUAUGUAAAAAAUUUACGAUCUUUAUUACUUCCGAUGAGCUAAAAAAUGCCAGUUAAUUUUCUUACAUUUUUAAUUUUACUCGUAUCUCAGCGUUUGCUUUGCAAGAAUAUUUGUCUUGCAUAUUUAUGUAUUAUUUUUUUUUCACAUAUAAAAUUCAAUUGAAUGAAUUUUAAGAGGAAAGUUUGUUCUCGUGGUUUUCUGCUCCUUCAAUUUGCUGGUUGUGUGCUGAUUAUGAUUAUUUAAGAAAAUUGAGACAUGAAGCUAUAUAAUUAUUUGCAGCUAUCUUGCGGAUAGGUUCGUAUAACCUUAAUAAUUUUUUAAUGGCAGCAGAUAAGUUGGAUCAUCUCCAACAUAUAGUAGCUGCCUUCUUGACCGUCAAAUGUAUGUGAGAAGAAUCCAAAAUGGUAACCAAUAAUAGUGAGACACGUGUGAUGAAGAUUUCGUCCAAAAAGAAUAAAUUCUUAAAAAGAUUAUCUUGAAAUUUUUCUAAAAAAAUAUUUUAUUCACUUUUCCCUAUAAAAUGCAGUUACAUUGAGGCUGCCCUUGAUAAAAUACUAAAAGAAAUCAUUGCUUUCCUCAAUAUUAUGUCGGCCAUAACUUUGAUUCCAUGCACCACUAAAGGCCAUGAUUGCUUUCGGCAUACACUUUUGAUUACACUUUUUGUUUUUUGAGAAAUUAAUUAGAACAUAAAACUUUCCUUUCAUUGAUUUCUUCAAAAGAAAGUUAGGUCCUCUUUCAUAUUGAAAUACUGUAAUUUUUUAGUUUUAAAUUAUUAAAAAAAUUAUAAUUAUAAAGUAAAAAUUAAUAGUAUGUAAUAAAUAUAAUUUUUACAAAAUUAAUAAAAAUAUAAUAAAAUUUUCAUCAUACAACUUAAUUUUCAAGAUAUAAUAGUUAAUAUUUAUUAAACACUUUAGUAUUAUAGUUUAAAAAUUACAGUUUCCCAAGCUUAAUUCUAAAUGAAACCUUAAUUAGAAGUUUAUGUAAAAAAUUUACGAUCUUUAUUACUUCCGAUGAGCUAAAAAAUGCCAGUUAAUUUUCUUACAUUUUUAAUUUUACUCGUAUCUCAGCGUUUGCUUUGCAAGAAUAUUUGUCUUGCAUAUUUAUGUAUUAUUUUUUUUUCACAUAUAAAAUUCAAUUGAAUGAAUUUUAAGAGGAAAGUUUGUUCUCGUGGUUUUCUGCUCCUUCAAUUUGCUGGUUGUGUGCUGAUUAUGAUUAUUUAAGAGCCAUUUACUGAUAACAUUUCAUUUCAAAUAAAAUUAAAAUGUCCAAUGUAUUAAAAUUUGUCAAAACUUUAUGCUAAAAAUCAUUAGGAGAAAAAUGAUUAUUUUAGCUAUUUUGAGUCCCCCGACAGAUUUUGAGGGAGAUUGGAAUCUUGUGUAAUUUUGCUGUUUGGAAUUAUGAUGCAUCUUUAUCGACUUUUUUGUUGACUGAACUUGAUUGGCCUCUGAACUUGACUUUUUUUUUUUAUUUAAGAGCACACAUCAUUGCAUCUCCUCUUCCUCCCAUUAGUUUGCUGUUGCGGUCGAAAAGUCUUUUUGAGCCAUUCAUACUUUCUUCUGCUGGAGAUGUGGCCCACUUGCAUAUCCAAUCACAACUGUCUUCCACCCAAACGAACCGCAGACCACGUGCUUUUCGAAUUGGAAAAAAACAUAAUUCGAUAUAUGUUUUUCAUAUCCAUUCACUUGCCAUUCGUGAAGCACAUGUUCCCUUCUCCAUUACAGCAUAUCUAGCUAAAUUGUGAGCUUGGACAUUACAUGCCCCUGGAACGUGUUGAACUUUGACGUUUUGGAACCAGUUGCUCUAUUUUUGUAUUUCAGAAAUUACCCAAAAUAUCUCAGUUUUACUCCCUUUCUUCUUGUUAACUAAAUCAGCAACUUCUUGGCAAUCCAUCUCCAUUAUCAGGUAAAAAGCAAUGCAUGCUAUAAUGAAUUUUUUGUUGACUGAACUUGAUUGACCUCUGCAUGCGACCUCAUGUAGGUCCGUCCGCUGAAAUACGGGUUACGUGUUCUUUAAUGGAUCAACUCGACCCGAUAUUGACCCGCGUUUGGUUGGACCGCAGGAUGUAUGUGACGUGUCUUGUUGGCCGUUGAUCCGCCUUGUGGGAGGGUACUGGAUGGUUGACGUUGUAUCUGGACCAUUAUUUUGAUCAUAUUGAACGCGGUCCAAGGGUUCUGAAGCUGUCACGUACUCUGCUACUUCAAACCCUUGAUUUAAUUCAGUUUGGUGGAUCCAACGGCCAUUUUCCGCAUUUCUUUAAAAUGUAAAAGCAUCAUUUUAAGCUGUACAGGCCGUCGAUUUAGAGCGAGCUUUCAAGUGUUAAGGCCAAAAAAAUUUUAUCUUGGGGAAGAAUUUAGUGAGUGACUUCUUUUUUUUUUUUUGUCCUUAAAAUUUAUUUUUAAACCCUAGAGUUUUGAGAAAUACUUUUCUUAAGGGUUAGAAGCAAAUGUUUUAGGUUGGAAUUUUAAUGAGUGCAAAGUAUGUUAUUGUCAGACAUCAAGAAUCAAAUUAGCAUUUUGUGUGUGGAUUGCUUGAAAUUGGCUGGCAACUAUGAUUUGGCGCUUUCACUGCUGAAAGAGUACAUUAAAAAUUCUGAGGUCAGUCUCUCACUCUCACCUGUGCUAACAUUAUGCCUAAAACUGAUGCAAUACAUGUUAUGUCUAAAACUGAUGCAAUUCCGUGGGGUUUUAUAUAUGUAGAUAUUUGGUGGGUUUCAGGACUAUCUGAGAGAUUUUAGCAUUGUUGUUCCUGGAAGUGAAAUCCCAGAGUGGUUCGAGUAUCAGAAUAAUGAGGGUUCUUCAAUAACAAUAAGCACGCCUCCAAAGACGUAUAAGAAUAGUAAGCUUCUGGGAUAUGCUAUGUGCUGUGUUUUUCAUGUCCCUAAAUAUUCACUUCCUUAUUAUAUACGACCGCUUCCAUAUCCCGUACAUGGGCUGUCCAUAAAUAGGAAGCCUACCACCCCGGCUUUGGGUGGCAUUUAUUUGAGAAAGCAAUUCGGUCAGGCUAUGUCAGACCAUCUUUUCCUAUACUACCAGAAUAGGGAAGAUAUUAGUGAAGUGGAAUUUUCUUCGCCGUCGGGAUCGGAGGUGAAGAGGUGUGGUGUCCAUCCAAUUUAUGUGCAUCAAGGGGAUAAGUUCAACCAAACAACUGAUCCGGUUUGGAAAUUGAACGAAUUUGGUCACGAUUGUGCAGAAUCAACAUCCUUUACGCGUGGCCGUAAUGAUGACUUAGACAGGGCAGAAGCCGGUGGAAGUUGCUGCGGGGAUGAUGCAGGAUCAACAACGUCGUCUGAGCGAAGGUUUCUAAAGCGAAGUCUUGAAGAAUAUGUUGGGGCGGCUGAAGCUAGUGGAAGUGGCUGCUGUAAUGAUGAUGAGGAACCACAACCUAAAAGAUUUAGACAACUCGAAUGAUGGGCACAGCCUAGCGAAUAUUAUUUUCUCUGAGUCUACGUGUAACAGUGUAAGUGCGCAUCUCAAUUUCAAUUUUAUUUUCUUUGCNNNUUUCUAAAGCGAAGUCUUGAAGAAUAUGUUGGGGCGGCUGAAGCUAGUGGAAGUGGCUGCUGUAAUGAUGAUGAGGAACCACAACCUAAAAGAUUUAGACAACUCGAAUGAUGGGCACAGCCUAGCGAAUAUUAUUUUCUCUGAGUCUACGUGUAACAGUGUAAGUGCGCAUCUCAGUUUCAAUUUUAUUUUCUCUGCAGAUCGCAUUUCAUUUACUUUCUUUGUAUUUGUUUAUUGUAUCUGUUCUUGCUACUUAUUUCCCUGUUAAAUUACCAGAAAAUGCCUGGCUUGGGUCAAAAAGUUGGACAGAAUCAGAAUGUGCCUUCCAUGAAUCAAAAUUGCAUUCUUGCCCCAUCAAAUCGAGGCUUUGAAUUUUGAGAUUUGAUUUCUCAUGAGGUGAAAAUUAAGGAAAGUAAAGGACCGAAGUAAAUACUCUGGAAAAGAUGUCGUACAUAGAUGCGAUGAGCGCGAGUUGUUUGGUAUACUUGAAGGGGCUCAGGACCACAAUGACUAAUUAUUUAAUGUUGUGUGUUAAAUAUUAAAAUAUGCAAUAUAAAACGGAUACUCAGAAAUUCUUAAAAAAAUAAAAUAGAAUUAAUGAAGUUGUAAUUUUAUUUUAUUUUUUUCCUUUCGGAGCGAAAACAAGUCCAUGCCUGACCACUUCGGAGGAGAGGCUAAACUGAUAAAAGUAGAACAUUUUUUUCUUUUUUUGGGGGUUUUCAAAUAACGGAGUUACAGAGUUAGAGAUGUUUUUUUUUUGGGGGGGUUUUAAGGGAAGACGGUACCUAGAUAUUGAUAAAAGAAAAAUCCUUUAGAGUCAGGAUAAAAGUCCUACCAUCAAUAAUAGGAGUUAAAUAUGAGAAUCAUCUCCCUUAAUUUAAGUUUAAAAGAUAAGUAAUUAUGCAACAAGUCAUUUAGAAGUUGUGGUACUUUUUCAUACUUUAAAUUAUUUUUGUCUAGUCAAUUAAAUAGAUAUUUUUUAAGUCGCCAAAAAAAUAAAAAAAUAUUUUGAAAUUAAAAAUGAUAGGUGCUGUCUAUAGUUUUACAAUUUUACAGUUGGUAGUAGAAAUAUAAUAGCAUUGUAAUAAAUAUAAUUAGCUAGUAAUAUUAUUUCAACAAUACUUUAUAUAAAAAUAUUCCAUAAGGUCUUAUAGCAAUUUAUAUCAUAAUUAAAUGUUGUAUGAAUUUAAUUGUAAAACCAUUAGUACUUGAACAACAAUGAUUAUAGAAGGCAUUGUAAUAAAUUAUUUGAUAUACAUUAUUAACGAUACUAUAUGAAUCUGAAAUAAAUGAGAAAUAUUUUCAUCCACAUAUCUAUUUUUAGAGUUAAAUUAGGAAAAAGAACACCCACAUAUCUCUAACUCUGUAACUCCUUUCUUUGAAAACCAAGAAAAAAAAAUGUUCCAGUUUGCCUUUAGCCUCUCCUCCCAAGUUGUCGGGCAUGGACUUGCUUUCGCUUCCGAAAGGAAAAAAUAAAAUAAAUAUAUGUAUAUUAAAAUAUUUUUAAUCUUCAAAAAAUAUUUUAAUACUGUUCAAUAUUAUAUUAUAUUAAAUUAAAUUUUAUAAUGGAUAUAAACAUAAUAUUAAAAUAAAUAUAUAAAGAUUCAAAUUAUUUUAAAUUUAUAUAAAAUAAUUUUAAUAUUAUCAAUACAUGAGAUAUUUUUUAUUAGUUGUAAAAUCUAUUUAACCCAAAUAUUUAUUUAAAAAUUAUAUAAUAGAUAAAAAGAUAUUAUUAAAAUAAUAUUAUAAUUUACAUUUUAAAAUUUAUUUUAUACAUAUUACAAAUAUUUCAUUAUUUUUAGUCUAUUAGACAAAAUAAACUAUUUAAAGUUUAUUUGAAUUUAUUAAAAAUGUUUUAACGUUAAUUUUUUUUUAGUUACUACCUAUGCAGGAUAUUAUAGCCAAAAGGGAGUUUAGGUAUCAUUUUCCUUUUAAGUUAUUUUAUCUUAAAUUUUUAAUACAAAAUUGAAAUUAUUGAUUUCAUGCAAUUCAAUUACUAUGGUGGAUGAUUUAACAUCGUAAAAGUUUAUAUUGACUUUCAAUAUCAACCAUUAGAAUGUGAGAGAUUAAUGGCUCAUUUUUUGUGUCAAAUUUUAAGUUAAAAUAUCCUAAACCAUGCUUUUAUAACGAGAAUAUAAAAUAAAUAGAUAAUAUUUUUCCCAUUCAUUCCCAUGAAUAUUAUUGGAGCUAAUAUUUACUUCUUAUAUUAAUUACCAUCAUAAAAGCAAUCAGUCUUUUAGUGACAUAAAAUUUUGUAACCACAAUCAAUGAACAUCAACAAAACAAUCUUUCAUAAUUCAUAAACUAUAGCUAAUUAAGAAUAUAUGUUAAUUUCAACUUUAUGAAAUCAACAAAGUGACAUUGGAAAAUUAAAUGAAAAUAGGCUUGUAAAACUUAAAUUUAUAUUCCUACCAUGUAAAAGUAUUCACUGUAACAUAAUCCAUAAUUUCAUGGUAUAGGUUGUGCUAAAUUGGUGUUAAACAUAAUAUACACUUCAUGAUUAAUCAUACAAUGGUGCUUAAUAAUAUACAAAAUAGUGAGCAUUAUGUUAAAUUUUAUUAAAGCAUGAAAAAGGUGAAGAAUGACAGAGGCAACAGCCAAAGACGGUUGACAUGAGGUGGCUUCGGGUUUUGCUAUUUUUCUGACUUUUUCUUCUUCUUUUUUUUUUAUGAAAGUAAUGGAUGAUGGAGGGAGGAUUUGUGUAUGGGGAAUGGUUGAUGGUCAGGAAAGCUCUAUCUAAUACAAAGAAAGGUUCUGAUACCACUUGACGCACUGCAUAAGCGAUACUAGAUUUCAUUUUAACGUACGUUCUUGAAAAUUCAAGAAAGAAGGCUCUCACGAAGGAGAAAGUAUCUCAAUUAAGAAAUAUUAAAUAUUAUUGAUGAGAAGCUUAUGUAUGUUAUAAUGAACUAUCAGUACAAGCCUAAGCUUAUGUAUGUUAUGCUAUUUGCUCAGUUUUUCAUGUCCCUAAGCAUUCACUAUGGCGUUCAUUUCCCACACAUCAAUUGCGCUGCUAUAUGGAUGGUUCUGGUCUCGGUUAUUUUACUUGUUUUAGUGAGAAUUUCGGUCACGCUGGUUAGACCAUCUUUGGCUACUCUUUUUGUCUCAUCAACGCUGCUACGAUACUAAUUGGUGUUUUCAAUCUAAUCAUAUUGAGUUGUCGUUUAAAUCCCCCUCAAUUCCAGAAUUGAAGGUGAAGAGGUGUGGCUUCCAUCCAGUUUAUGUUCACAAAGUCGAGGAGUUUGACCAAACAACAAAGCAAUGGACUCACUUUAUCUCUUAUGAUCUGAAUGAAUCCCAUCAUAAUUUUGUUGGAUAAAAAAUGGAAGUAGCCACAACAUCAAAGCGAAGCCUUGCAGAAAAUGCAGUGGCAACUGAAGCUAGUGGCAGUGGCUGCUGUGAUGAUGAUGACGAACAACCACCUGAAAGAUUUAAACAACUCAAAUGAAGGGUAAGGCCAACCACUUGGGCUAAGCCCAAGUGGUUAGAGCCACUCCCUCACAUUUGUGAGGAAAGUGGUUCAAGCCUCCGCAGACGCAUUGCAGGGGUUUAAUUUAAAUUUCCUUCCUUAGAGCCCCAGAGCUUGAGUAAAGGCAGUCUUUCUCCCAGGACGGGAGUUGACGUCUCUCGAAUAUUUGAGGGUUAAAAAUCUGAGCGGUGCUAUAUCAGAAUUGUUGUAAAACGGAUCUCAGUAGAUAUAUGAUUAUAAAUAACAUCAUGAACAAUAGUUCUCAUUCAAAAAAAAAAAAAGAAGGGUAAGGCCUGGUGUAACAGUGAGAGUACGCAUCCCAAUUUCAAUUUAUGUUCUUUAAAUUUGCAUAUGGUAUUUCAUUUACUUUUUAUUUGUCCAUUUAUUGUAUCUGUUUUGGCAAAUUUUUUUAAUGUUAAAUUACUAGAAAUACUCGAUUUGGAUCAAAAAGUUCGUCGGAAUCAAAAUGUGUUGCUCGGCCAAAUUGAUGCAUUGAAUUUUGUGAUUUCUCAUGAGUUGAAAAUUAAAGAAAGAGUGAAAAUUGAAAGCAUGAAAUCCCCUCGUUGAUUUCUUUGAAACAAACAAAAUUGAAAUUAUCUUUAUAAAGAGGAAUUAUCUUUGGCAAAGUAAAAUUUCAUCAUUUUUCAAUGCGUCCAACACGCUCAAAGCAUUAAGGGUGCGUUUAGGAUUCAUGUGCUGUAACUUUUAAGGUACAGCUGCUGUGAAAAAAAAAUUAUAACUAUGAAACAAAAAUUAAUAAUAUGUAGUAAAUAUAAAUUUUAAAUAAUAAUUUUGACAAAAUUAUUAAAGAUAUAAUAGAUUUUCUAUUAUACAAGUGAAAAAGUAUAUUAACAUAGCUUCUAAGCUACAGCAGUUAGUGUUUACCAAACACUUUAGUGCUGCAGCUUAAAAGAUACAGCUGCCCAACUUCAAUCCCAAACAUACCCUAAGUUUUCUCGCAGUUUUGUAUUCCAACAUUGCUUCCCAUGAAUGUUUGUCUUACAUUAUUAUGUAUUAAGUAUUCUUAUGUAUUAAGUGUUUCUUUUUUCUUUUUUUGGAUGUGAUAGAUUAAGUGUUUCUAAUCACUCGAUUAGUCAAUAUUAGAGGAGAUCAUGUUCUCUUCUUUGCUGAUUUUGAUUUUUAUGUACAGUUUUUUCGGUACUUGUUGAGUUGGAACUCAAUGUGAGUACACAUUUUUUUCCCCAACAACACAAAAAAACAAUUGCUUCUUCAACUUCUCUUCUUAUCCAUAUGCUGAAAAAAAAAAGAACAUUGAACAAUCCAUUGAAGAAAGAAGGUAUUUAUAUUGUGAUCAAAAGGAGGUUUUCCACUUGUGAUUUCUUUCUGGCCAUUAACGUGAUCCAACAUUCGAUCAUUCCGCUGCAGGACUCGUGAAGAAAGGUAGACUCUUGAAUCCUUUUAUUUUCUUUCAAUUUAAGAGGCAUUUACUCAUAAAAAUCCUCUACUUUUCCUCAAAACAAAUAUAUUUGCCUAAUUAGCUUAAGUUCUCUUAAAGCAAAGCACUUCAUUGGAAUUCAUUUACUUACAAAAAUCCUCUCUAUUUAAGAUUUGCUCAGGCACACUCUCCUGUCAGGAUCUGAAAAGUUAAUUUUUCUAAUAUAUUUUGGGAUUUGUGGUAUGAUAUUUUCUUUUCUUUAAAGAAAGGAUAACAUAAAAUUGUGUAAGAUCAAUUAAAGUAUAAAUUUGAUUCAUAUGUAACUAUAACUUAAGUGAUCACAUAAUAGUUGAUUUCUUUUUACAAUUUCGACAUGCUUAUUUCUUUUUUGUAUAAUUUUUAUUUUAUUUUAUUUUAUUUUAUUUUUACUAUUAUAUUCUUGACUAUAGUAAGCCGAAAAUUGAUAUUAUAUUUUAAAAAUAAAAAUAAAUAUAUUAUUAAUAUAAAUAAACUAAAUAUAUUAUAUUUUAAAAAUAAAUAUAAAUUAUUAUUAAUAUAAAUUUAUUAUUCUUGACUAUUUUAUUUUUACUAUUAUCUGCCUUUAUCACCGAGCGGGCAUCUCAAAUUCAAAUGUUAUUGUAUAUUAACAUAGCUUCUAAGCUACAGCAGUUAGUGUUUACCAAACACUUUAGUGCUGCAGCUUAAAAGAUACAGCUGCCCAACUUCAAUCCCAAACAUACCCUAAGUUUUCUCGCAGUUUUGUAUUCCAACAUUGCUUCCCAUGAAUGUUUGUCUUACAUUAUUAUGUAUUAAGUAUUCUUAUGUAUUAAGUGUUUCUUUUUUCUUUUUUUGGAUGUGAUAGAUUAAGUGUUUCUAAUCACUCGAUUAGUCAAUAUUAGAGGAGAUCAUGUUCUCUUCUUUGCUGAUUUUGAUUUUUAUGUACAGUUUUUUCGGUACUUGUUGAGUUGGAACUCAAUGUGAGUACACAUUUUUUUCCCCAACAACACAAAAAAACAAUUGCUUCUUCAACUUCUCUUCUUAUCCAUAUGCUGAAAAAAAAAAGAACAUUGAACAAUCCAUUGAAGAAAGAAGGUAUUUAUAUUGUGAUCAAAAGGAGGUUUUCCACUUGUGAUUUCUUUCUGGCCAUUAACGUGAUCCAACAUUCGAUCAUUCCGCUGCAGGACUCGUGAAGAAAGGUAGACUCUUGAAUCCUUUUAUUUUCUUUCAAUUUAAGAGGCAUUUACUCAUAAAAAUCCUCUACUUUUCCUCAAAACAAAUAUAUUUGCCUAAUUAGCUUAAGUUCUCUUAAAGCAAAGCACUUCAUUGGAAUUCAUUUACUUACAAAAAUCCUCUCUAUUUAAGAUUUGCUCAGGCACACUCUCCUGUCAGGAUCUGAAAAGUUAAUUUUUCUAAUAUAUUUUGGGAUUUGUGGUAUGAUAUUUUCUUUUCUUUAAAGAAAGGAUAACAUAAAAUUGUGUAAGAUCAAUUAAAGUAUAAAUUUGAUUCAUAUGUAACUAUAACUUAAGUGAUCACAUAAUAGUUGAUUUCUUUUUACAAUUUCGACAUGCUUAUUUCUUUUUUGUAUAAUUUUUAUUUUAUUUUAUUUUAUUUUAUUUUUACUAUUAUAUUCUUGACUAUAGUAAGCCGAAAAUUGAUAUUAUAUUUUAAAAAUAAAAAUAAAUAUAUUAUUAAUAUAAAUAAACUAAAUAUAUUAUAUUUUAAAAAUAAAUAUAAAUUAUUAUUAAUAUAAAUUUAUUAUUCUUGACUAUUUUAUUUUUACUAUUAUCUGCCUUUAUCACCGAGCGGGCAUCUCAAAUUCAAAUGUUAUUUUGCACAUGAUAAUUCAUUUACAUUCUGUUUAUUCAAAAAUCUGUUAUAAAUCAGUUAAGGGUUAGUGACGUGGCAUUGAUGAGCUGUCUGGAUUGGUGUCCAAGUUUGUUAACCGUGGUUAGCACUUCAGCAGCAGCUACAAAAUAAACACAGGGUCUGAUUUAUGUGUCAAUCUUUAAUGUGUCCGUUUGUCAGGUAGAGCGAAGAGUUAGAAAUAUUGAGCUCACGCUCUUCCUUGUCAUUUCCUCUGUGAAAUUUUUAUGGGUUUAAAUACUUGAACCUCGGAAUUGAAGCUACAAUGCUUAGUGCACAUAUGUUGAAUUGAGGAUAGAUUUUAGGAAGAAAGACAAAUAUCUAUAUGAAUAUAAUCGAUCUCAGCUUGAUUCGGGCUCAGAACAAACGAUAAAUAGACAAAGGAAUGAUUAUCUGGAAUUUGCAGGCCAGGUUCAAGAGAGGAGUUGUUGAGGAAUAAUGGUAUAAUUCUCGUGCCUAGGACGUGUUCGAUAAUAUGCCUACGAAGGAAUGUGCAUCCCACCUGAUGUGUUGCAUCAACUCUAUGGUUUCCCAAGCAAAAGCAAUCGAUCAACAAGGUCAAUUCGUGAAGGUUUGUUCUGCGUGAGUCAUGGCUAGUUAGCAGAUUCUGAGAUUCCUUCACUAUCAAUAUGUAUUGUCAAUAUAUUGUUUACAUAUAUUGUUUACGUGUUCGAUAAUCAGCACAAAUAGCCAGCCAAACUAAUGAGUCAGCCAGGAACUCUAAUGAUCGAAGGCAAAACCAAGAAGAGAGUGAAGGGUCUGCACAAAGGGGCAUCCCAGGUACUCGAUCGAAUACCAAUGAUUUAUUGGCAAUCUUUAAUGUGUCCGUUUGUCAGCUACAAAAUAAGCACGCUCCUUCUUGUCAUUUCCUCUUGUGAAAUACAUUCCUUCACUAUCAAAUUCCAUAUCUUCAGUGCCUUGGUAGUUUAUGUACACGUGUCUUUAACAGAAUUUUACCACAAACACAGUGCAAACCCAGUGUUUAUCUAAUCAAUUAUUUUCUUCUUCUAGCGGCUAACCGUUUUGCAAAUUUCUAAAUAGAAAUAUACAUGACAGAAUUUGAUUAUUUGUUGUUUCGUGAAUGAUGUGGUAGAAUGAAGGAAUUGUAGAAUUUCUUGAGUUUUAGACAUAAAACAGAGUCAGGCCAUGGAAUGAAUGAAAAAAAUAUCAUCGCAUUUGUUGGAAUGAUGCUGUGCUUUAUUCAAAAUUAUUUCUUCUACUAGAGAAGCAAUCAAUAAUAGUGUUAAUUCUUGAACCUGUGAAAAGCAAUUAAUUUUCUUCAUUUGUUUAAUAGCAAUCUUCCAUAACCAUUGUGCUUGGCUGUGAAAUAGGCCAUUUGUGGCUGAACAUAGAAUCUGUUUUUUGUUUCUUUGUUGCUUUUUGCGAAUCUUUGGCUUAAUUUACAAUUCAUGGCAUGUCUGAAAAUGGGUAGAUGAAUAUGUUAAAUAUGGACUCAGAUUUAGAUCAGAUUUAUCAAUGAAACAAUCAAGAGGAUUCAACAUUUGAUUUUUAUUUUUCUUUUCUCCACCCCCAUGUUUAAUUUUGGUCCGAGGAUUUGGUUGAUAGGAAUUGACAACUAUUGAUUUUCCUUUUUUUCGUUAAACAACAGACCACAAUGUCAAUUUGAAGACUUUGUUGAUAAGAAUUGACAACUGUUGGUUCUUAUUAUUUGUUUUUGUUUAAUAGAAGAUGCCUUGGAAUUCCGCAUCGUUGACAUGUAGUUGAUAUUUAAAACUACAACUGUCGGAAUUCUUAUUAAGAAAAUUACUAUGCUGCUUGCAACAUAAUCAAAGUUGUAAAUUUUAUGCCAUGCAGUUCUCUUUAUUUUCAUUUAUGUUUUUGAAUUUUCAGAAUAAAUAUGAAGAAGAAGAUCAUUAAUUUCCAAAGCUGAGAAGAAAAUAUUUUCAGAAUUAUACUACAAUGACUAUAGGGAGAUCCUGAAAAUGAGAUUCUUGAUAUUCUUCAAAUAAGUUUUGAUGGGUCCAAAGAAACAGAGAAGAAAAUAUUUCUUGAUAUUGCAUGUUUCUGUGAAGGGAAGUAUAGAGAUUAUGUGAAAAAAUUCUCAAAUAUUGUGAUUUUGACCCAAUUAUCGAAAUUGUUGGUCCUAUUGAAAAAUCUCUAUCAACUGUAGAUGAUUUCAGCGGACUGUGGAUGCAUGAGUAGUUACAAGAAAUGGGGUAGACAAAUUGUUAGGAGGCAAUCCCCUCAGGAGCCUGGAAACUGCAAUAGAUUGUGGAAGGAAGCAGAUAUAUGCCAUGUAUUAUCACAAAGCACAAGUAAAUGUUCAGUUAGGUUGAAAACUUGCAAUUUUGGGAUCAUGAUCACUUAUUUAACUAGUUAAACCUUUGCAUAGUUUUAUCAAUAUUUUCUUUCUUUCAUUAAUUUUAGUUUUAGUUUAGUUUAGUUUAGUUUUAUUUUUUUCCCCAUAAGGUAGAGAUGAGAUGAGAAACCUCAUUCAUUAAACACCAAAAAGUAUUUUAAAGUAUGCUGGUGGUCUUCCGUUAGUCUCAAGGUUUUGGGCUCAUUUUUGUUUGGUAGAACCAUAGUUGAACGGGAAAGUGCACUACAAGACUAUAUAGAGAUCCUGAAAGUGAGAUUCUUGAUGCACUUCAAAUGAGUUUUGAGGGGUCAAAAGGAAUAGAGAAGAAAAUAUUUCUCACUAUUGCGUGUUUCUAUGAAGGGAAGUAUAGAGAUUAUGUGAAAAAAAUUCUCAAAUACUGUGAUUUUGAACCAAUUAUCGGAAUUGUUAGUUUUAUUGAAAAAUCUCUAUUGACUAUAGAUGAUUUUAGCGGACAGUGGAUGCAUGAGUUGUUACAAGAAAUGGGGUAGACUAAUUGUUAGGAGGCAAUCCCCUCAGGAGCCUGGAAACUGCAGUAGAUUGUGGGAGGAAGCAGAUGUAUGUCAUGUAUUAUCACAAAACAGUGUAAAUGUUUACUGAAGCUGAAAACUUGCAGACAUUGUUCUUUCUUGUUGCUUGAAAUUGGAGAAAUUUCCAGACAUUGUGCAAGUUCUUUGGGAUGGAACUGAUAUUAGAGAACUGUCAUUCGCAAUUGAACUUCUAUUUAGACUUGUUCUGUUGACUCUGAAUGGCUGCAAAAAUCUUGAGUGUCUUCCAAGGACCAUAAGUGCUCUAAAAUAUCUAUCAACUUUGAAUCUCUCCGGCCCUUUGAAAUUCAGAGAGUUCCCAUAGAAAACUUCAAGCCGGGAUCAGCUCUUGGAGCUUCAUUUGGAAGGAACUGCUAUAAGAGGAUUGCCAGCAUCUAUUGAACUUCUUUCUGGCAAUGUCUUGUUGCAUUUGAAAGAUUGCAAGAAUCUCAAGAGUCUUCCAAGUACUAUAAAUGGUUUGAGAUCUCUUAGAAUGUUGCAUCUCUCUGGCUGCUCCAAACUUAAAAAUGUGCCAGAGACCUUGGGAAAAGUUGAAAGCUUGGAAGCUAGAUUGUCUUGUUAGAAUCGGGCCAAAAUGCAGAAUGAUUUCGACUAUGUGGAACAGAGUGCAGUGGAGACAGUAACAAAGUUAGCAAAAGCAGAAUCGCUAAGGUACUUUACAAAAUUAAUAUUUGCCUUUAGAACAUGCAGUACUGUAUUACUUCUAUGUGCAUUCCUAUCAAUAUCUUCGACAGAAAGAUUCAGAUUCAUGGAAGAAGAAUGUUGAUAAGGGCAUCAAGCUAUCUACAACAGCAAUAUCAGCUUGCUCACUUGCCUGCCAUAGGCUGAUUCAAACCUCAAGAGCCAUGCCGAAGAGUUGAAUCAAAUAACAGCAAAUUCACAUCUUAGGUGGCCUUUUCUUCUGCUGUACCGUACAUCCGCCUUGGCCGUAAGAUGGAUUCCUAACCUUACUAAGUAAUAUUAUCAACAAUUUUUGGAUUUGCUGAUUUUAGAGCCUGGUCUUAGAAUCCAUAAUGCAUUGACAAAUACAGAAAUGAUCAAAUUACUAGACUCAGUAGUUGCUAUUUAUGUUAUUAUUGAAGGAUGAUUCAAAUUCUUUAUGUAUGUUAGUUUUUGUUUGGGCGGGAAAUUUAAGUUUUAUCUUAGUUGACUCUAUUGACCACUGCUUGUAUCAAAAAAAUCUGAAUACUGGUCGUACGAGUACUAGAUAAUAGACCUCAGGCCAUGAGAGGAGAGACCAAAAUCGAGUCAGAUCGAAGGCUUGAUCAAAGGCCAACACGUAGUUUGUCUCCAAGAAACUCGGGCACAAAGCCCAUUCAGCGGCAGUUACAUUGUCCAUUGACCCAUGAUUUCAAAGACGCAGCACGCACCUUUUCACUUCCAAGCCAACAGUAAUCGUGGGGAAGAUGGAGUCGAUGGUUCAGGUUGGGUAUAAAAGCUACGGAGAAUGGAGGUAAAAAGGGCUGGACAAAUUUUUUUUUUUUAUUUCCAUAUUUUCUCUCUCGAUAAUUCUCUCUAUUUAUUUUUCUUCGUUUUGAGAAUUAAGAUUUCUAACUUUCAACUGAUAUAAUUAAGUAAUGAGUUUGUGAUACAAGUUUUUCUAAAAGAGACCCAAUUACUGACAUGAGCGUGGAGGAUUUUUGCCAAAAAAUUUUUGGUGCCGCUCUAAUUGGAUAUUGUGAGUAUAGGUGAUUCAACUUAGCGAGUUUUGGUUGAAGCUAUCUACUCGAGUGCGAUAGCCGUCGCACUGAAUCAGCUCCCUAGCAAACAAAAUUUAAACGUUGGCGCAGAUAGCCUGGUCGUAGUUCCAUCGAUCAGAUUCCUGCAUCAAUACCGUCAGGACUCUACCAAGUUUACCUCAAGUCUCCGUCAAGACACAACAUGAUGAUCCAUGUCACAACAACGUCCAUUAUUUUAUUGGUGCACAAUUUGCUAUUGUCAAGCAAAUUGCUGUCCCUUUGACAAAAUUUACCAAGUUUAGUAAUAUGGUCGGCCACCAUUUUCAACAUAUACACAAUAAAUGCAUUCCCCACAAAUAAUAAGGUCAUUCAUUGGCAUUUUCAUUUCAUCAAGUUAGUUUAUAAAAUUUUGACAUUCACAUUUCACUUUUGCAAUAAGCCCAUCAUUUUGAAGAAAUCUUGUCACUUAUUUUGUACUAAAUUUUUAAGAUCAACUAUAAUGGCCUCCAUGACCAUGAACAUCCAAAAAGGAAUCAUCGUAAUCUUACAGAUGUUACGAUUAUAUUUAAUGGAAAUGACUCAGAAAUCUACGUCUAAUAGACGUUUUUAGAUUUAGUCCCGUGUAUUCAUACAAUUGAAGCUUCCAGGAAAUUUCGCGGUAAUGUCAUAUGAUGUACUGUGGGUAGACACGAUGAAAAUAAUUAAAAUGUCACUUUUUGACCAAGACUUGCUUUUCGUUUUGUCAUACAAACAAACAACAACAGAUAUGGAAUUCCAUUAAGUAGCUGCCUGCUACAGUACAGUCAACGCUGUCAGUUCUAUCUUAUACACGCAUUUCUCUUUUAUUUUCAGUAUUAAUUUCCAUAUCCUGGAUCUAUGUUCGAAAAGAAGAAAGUGGAGGCAAGCUGGAAUGUGAAAUUUUGUAUAAUUAUUUUGAAGGAAAAAAUUUGAUAAAAUUGUCACGUAAAUUCUCUUGGCUGAAAUAUUUUCAGUAUUAUUUUCCACACUCUCAAAAUUUGCUAAAAUGGUCACAUAAAUUCUCUUGGCUUCAUAAAUAUUCAUUAAGACCCUUUUUUAACAAUUAUCCCUUGAAUUAUAACAACACAAAAAUUUAUUUUAAAUAAAUUUCUGUAAUAAGUACAUAGAUAAUAUUAAAAUAAUCUAAUAUAUAAACUAUUAUAAAUUUUAAAAAUUAUUUUGAAUAUUAAGCAAAAUUAUUUUUAUAUUAUUAUUCUGUUUUUCGCAUACUAAUAAUAUAAAGUCAAUAUACAUUUAACAUUCAAGAUAACUUACAAAUUCUAUGUUAUAUAUUUUAUUUAUAAUUUUUUAUAUUACCUUUUUUUUUAUAUCAUGUCUAUAUUAGCAUAAAUUUAAAGUUAAUUUUUGGAUUAAUGGAUUGAAGUAUCAGUUAAAACUAUCAAGAAUAUUGAUAAUAGCAAAAUACUAAAAAUAAUUUACAUGACAUAUAUGUGUUAAUUUAGUUAACUAUAUUUAUUUUAAUAUUUUAUUUGUCAAUUGCAUGCAACUGUAGCAUUUAUUUGAUUUUAGAGCCUGUUCUUAGAGUCCAUAAUGCAUUGAGAAAAGCAGAAAUGAUCAAAUUACAAGCCUCACGAGUUGCUAUUUAUGUUAUUAUUGAAGGAUGAUUCAAAUUCUUUAUGUUUGUUAGUUUUUGUUUGGGCGGAAAAUUUAAGUUUUAUCCGAGUUGACUCUAUUGACCACUGCUUGUAUCAAAUUUGAACAAAUGUGCAUACUAAAUUUUUUUGGAGAAAAAUGGAAUUGAAUAAUAAAUGUACAAUAAAAAAGUUACAUGUGUUGUGAUUUUCACAGAUGUAUUAAAAAAAAAUGAUUGGCGGAUUGAAUAAUGAAUGUACAAUAAACAAAAAAAAAAAUUACUUUUGUUGUGAUUUUCACGGACGAACAAAAAAGAAAAAAAGGGAUUAUAAGUGUAUUUAAACGGUCCAUUAGCCUUUAACAUUUACUUUCCAAUCUUUACUUAUCUCAACAAGAAAUUUCUAUAACUUCAAAAAAAAAAAUUAAAGAUUAUAGUGGAAUUCUUCCGAAAGAAUAAAUUCUUGAAAGAUUUUGGUGGAAAUUUUCCAAAAUAAUAAAAUUUUUAAAAAGAUUAUCGUGGAAUUUUUCUAAAAGAAUAUUUUAUUCAUUUUGCCCUAUAAAAUGUAGUUACAUUGAGGCCGCCCUUGAUAAAAUACUAAAAGAAAUCAUUGCUUUCCUCAAUAUCAUGUCGACCAUAACUUUGAUUCCAUGCACCACUAAAGACCAUGAUCAUGCUUCGUAAUUGCAUUCGGCAGACACUUUUGAUUACAAUUUUUGUUUUUGAGAAUUAAUUAGAGCACAAAACAUUCCUUUCAUUGAUUUCUUUGAAAGAAACUUAGGUCCUCUUAUACUGUAAUUUUUUAGUUUUACUGUAUUAAAAAAAUUAUAAUUAUAAGAUAAAAAUUAAUAGUAUAUAAUAAAUAUAAUUUUUUAAUAAUAGUUUUUAUAAAAUUAAUAAAAAUAUAAUAAAAUUUUCAUCAUACAUCUUAAUUUUUAAGAUAUAAUAAUUAAUAGUUAUUAAACACUUUAGUAUUAUAGUUUAAAAAUUACAAUUUCCCAAGCUCAAUUCCAAAUAAAGCCUUAAGUAGAAGUUUAAGUAAAAAUUUACGAUCUUUAUUGCUUCCGAUAAGCUCAAAAAUUCCAGUUAAUUUUCUUACAUUUUUUUCAUUUCAAAUAAAAGUAAAAUGUCCAAUGUAUUAAAAUUUAUCAAAACUUUAUGCUAAAAAUCAUUAGGAGAAAAAUGAUUAUUUUAGCCAUUUUGAGUCCCCCGACAGAUCUUGAGGGAGAUUGGAAUCUUGUGUAAUUUUGCUGUUUGGAGUUAUGAUGCAUCUUUAUCGACUUUUUUGUUGACUUGAACUUGAUUGACCUCUGUAUGCGACCUCAUGUAGGUCCGUCCGCUGAAAUACGGGUUACGUGUUCUUUAAUGGAUCAACUCAACCCGUAUUUGACCCGAUAUUGACCCGCCUAUGGUUGGACCGCAGGAUGUAUGUGACGUGUCUUGUUGGCCGUUGAUCCGCCUUGUGUGAGGGUACUGGAUGGUUGACGUUGUGUCUGGACCAUUAUUUUGAUCAUAUUGAACGCGGUCCAAGGGUUCUGAAGCUGUCACGUACUCUGCUACUUCAAACCCUUGAUUUAAUUCAAUUUGGCCGAUCCAACGGCCAUUUUCCGCAUCUCUUUAAAAUGUAAAAGCAUCAUUUUAAGCUCCACAGGCCGUCGAUUUCGAGCGAGCUUACAAGUGCUAAGGCCAAAAAAUUUAUCUUGGGGAAGAAUUUAAUGAGUGACUUCUUAUUUUUAUGUCCUUAAAAUUUAUUUUUAAACCCUAGAUUUUGGAGAAAUACUUUUCUUAAGGGCUGGAAGCAAAUGUUUUAGAUUGGAAUUUUAAUGAGUGCAAAGACAUCAAAAAUCAAAUUAGCAUUUAUUUUCUUGUCUUGUCUUUAGCUCUAUCAAGUUCGUUGAUGCAUGGUCUUUGAAUUUGAAGGUGUUACAUCCAAAACGGAUUCUCUCACAUCCAAUAUCAUUUUACUCUUAAAUUUAUCUAAUGAUCAGAUUUUGAUGCUUGAUUCACGUAGAAAAAAAAUUGUGAGGACUGUCAUUUUAGUAAAUUAAUAAAAGAAAAAAAAAUUCAUAUGGAGAGAGAUAUAUGCCAAAACCUCGAAGCAUGGAAACAAAUACAUCCAAUAACUAGAAAAAUAACAAAAGCAAUAGAAGAUAGGACUAAUUAAUGCAACCAUCUAGAGAAUCGCUUCCAAUUCCUGCGGCUAGUAACCAAUGUGAAACCUUUCUUAGAAUUGGAGGCACGCGGUCCGGCAAUACGAAAGUCAUCAAGAUCAUGCCCUCUAGUACCCUUAGGCUCAGAUGCAAAAUAUUCAUUAGUCACAGGAUUCCCAUCAGAGCUAAACUUCUCAUCAAAUUGAAAAAGGAUAUCUAUAGAAUGGGGAUUGAAGCCCACAAUCAUGGAGCGAAUAUCCUCUUCAGUAGCUCAAAAAAAAGUAGCAUCGAUGGAAGCCCUCUAAACACCUAGAUCAUCUAAAAAAGGAGGGUUAGAGACCUCAGUGCAUCCAGUAGCAUCUCUUAAAGCAGUAGGAUUCUUCAAACCAUCAUCAGUUUGAACUCUUUUCAUAGAAACUAGAUCAAACGCAUCUUCUGCAGUAUCCUGAUAAAUAGGUGACUGAGCAUCUAGAAGAGCACCCUCACUACCAUUCGACCUCAAUGGCACAACCUCUUUGCCAUCCCCUUUGGAUGCACAGCAGCAUUAGACAUCAGCAUCUUGCCUUUAUCAUGAAGAACAAUAUCCUGCACCUGAUUAACCGGCUGCCAGGGCUCUCAGAGCCCAGGAUUGGCAACAAAACAAGUAUUAGUAGAGUACCCAAGAUGCUUACACGAGGCAUAGUAUAAAGGAACACGCUCAAAAAUGACAUUCUGCCAGAACAUGCCAUCACCUUCACUAGUCCAAAGUUUGGGCAACAACGGCCGCAAAACAUCCAACUCAAUUGGAACUCUAGUGAUCCAGGGUUGAUUAACAACAACAGUAGCAUGGUCCACCCGUAGAGGCUUACCAAUAGCAUUAGCAAUAGAAAAUAAGACAUCUUUGCAAUGAAUAAAAUGCACUUGCAAAUACGGCAAAGAAACUCAAAUAAGAAGAAUAGGAGAUUCCUCAAAGCACCAAAAUGAAGUCUAUGAGACUACGCUACAUGAGACUCAAACACAAAGGCCUAAUUCUUGGUAAGGCUGCCCACCUAAAUCCACUUGGAAAAUGUUCAAACAUACUUUUGAUAAUGUAUUUUAGUCUGUGAGGGUUGACACAAUAGAAUUUGGAUUCGAGAUGUUUACGGUUGCGAAGCUUCUGUAAGUGUUCUUGGUCCAUUGUAAACUCACAUUAUUUUCAUAGUGAAUUGUUUCGUCUACAAGUGGACAUAAUAACAUGUCGAGAUUUUUAUCCUAAAUCGUGAGGAUCAAAGGUUUUCUUGUAAAAACAUCUCUGUGUUGUGGAUGUCCAUUUAUUUUGCAUAUUUAUUUUCAUUACCAUAAAUUGAUUUUUAAAUUUAUUGAUAGUGUUUAUUAAAUUAUCUUUAUUAACUAGGAAAUAAAAUCAGUAAUUUUAAAGAGAUUAUUAUUAUUAUUACCAAGUAUAUAAAGAUAAUGAAAUAAAAAAUAAAACUAAUAAUAUAAAUAUUUACUUUAGUUAUCAAUUAUUAUAUAUACACACAAUAAAAAAUAUUUUAUAUACAUACAUUAUAAGUAUGAAAAUAAAUUUUAUUCAAAACUAUGUCCAAUUUAAUCAUUUAUAUUCUUGUCAUUUACAAUCUUAUUAUAAUUUAAUAGUAAGAUUUACCAAAUACAUAGAUUGUUUUUAAAACUCACAGAACUUUUGAAAAUUGUAUCAAACGUUUAAUUGGUUAUCUUUAUAGUUGACUAUUUUUACAGUACAGUUAGCAGUAAUCAUUUUAAAAACUAUAAUAUUAACAAAAUGAUCCAACAUCUUUUAAGUACCCAGCUGAAAUUUAACUAAUAAAGGUUUACCAUUGCCGGUAGUUUUAACUAUUUUUAAUUAAUUAUUAAUAUCAACCGUUGGAUUCCAUUCCAUUCUAAUGGAAUCCAAUGGCUUCAACAUGGGUGAUGGGCAGAGUGGCAUGGACGCGUAAUCAAUUGAAAAGCCAGAUAUUCUUCGCUUAGAUUCCUUGAAGCUUCCAGCAAGCUCGAUGCUAACUCCAUCGUGUGAGUAAUCGAUUGAAAAGCCAGAUAAUUUUCAUUUAGAUUCCUUGAAGCUUCCAGGAAGGUUGAUGGUAACUUCAUCAUUAGAGUAAACAAAGACGAUAUUUUUGAAUUGUUAAGAAAGUCGCUGUUUGACCAAGACUUGCUUUUGGAAAUACACACAUUGCAACGCAACGGAGGCGCUGGAAACCGUGUAAUCGUUUUAAUUUUCCAAAUUAAACAAAAAAACCUCUGGCUUCCCUUGAAAGAUAGGUGCGCACGUAAAAUUCUAUCAUGUCGUAAUUAAUUGCGACAUUAAUAAGUAAUGAAUAUAAUUUUUUAUAAUUUAUACAUACAACCAGUACAUAAAAAAUAAAAUAAAUUAAUUAAUAUAAGUGUGGUUAAUUGAUAUUUUAAAAUUAAAAAUUAAAAAUACUUGUAAAAAUAAUAUAAAACUUAUAAAUCAAUGUUAAACUUUAACUAGAUUAGAAAAUAGUUUAUUUAUUUAAUUUAAUUAAGCAAAAAAAUCGCUAAUUAAGAAAAAAAUGGCUCAUUAAUUGAAAAAAAAUUGUAUUAAAACAAUUAGAAUAAAUUUUAUUGAAUUGGUUUAACCAUGAAUUCUAUAUUUAUCCUAGGACAUUUAUAAUUUUUUUUUUCAUUUUCUAUCAUAAUAUUUGUUUACCACACAAGUUACUUAAGCAAAAUUAUUAUUAUUUUUUUAAUGUGGAUCAAGCCAAAACAAAAUAAAAGUUAUUUUUAUAUUACUACAAAUAUAUGAUAUAUAAAUAAAAUUAUAUCUAAUUUUCAGUUUUAUGCACAAUUUAUAUAGUUUCAAACUUUACUUCUUUUACUUAAAGAUCAUUUGGGAUUACUGUCUAAGAGGUUUAUAGAGGGAUGCAAAAUUACCUUAUCUUACAAAUAACUUUAAAAAACAUAAAAAGAGUUUUAUUCUUAAUAAAAUUUUACAUAUAUCGUAUUACAUAAGCCCAAAACUAUCAUGAUUCAAUUUAGAAACAAAAUCAGUUAAAUACAUAAGGUAGUCAUUAUUAUCAUUAUAUUAAUUUAUUUAUUUUACUUUCUAUUGAGAAGCUUUAUAUUCUUAUUACAUAAUUUAUGUUUUAUUUUAUAUUUAAUGUUGAUUUAUAAGUUUUAUAUUACAUUUAUAUGUUUUAUCUAGAUAAUUAAUAUUAAUUAUAAUAUGCACAAAUAUGUUUCACUGAUUCUGCUGUACGGCCAAGGCGGAUGUACGGUACAGCAGUCUUUCAACUGACAGUAUUAGUUAUUGAUCAGGCUAUGCAGUUUAAGUUGAAAUUCCUAGGCCAACCCACAUUUUACAGGGAUAAUUUUAUACCCAAUUUUUUAUUCGGGGAGGGGACGGGGAAAAUUUUUUACCCAAUUUUUUAUUCGGGGAGGGGAGGGGGAUGAGGUGGAAUCCCCAUCCUCUACCCAUUUCCCCAUUUUAAUUUUUAAUUUAAUUUUUAUUUUUAAAAUUACUAAUAAAUAAAUAACAAAAUUAUAAAUAUUGUUAAAAAUAAUAAAUAUCAAAAUAUUUAUAUUAUUAAAUGCUAAUAGGUAUCCUACAUUAGCUCGAAUUGCUAGAGAUAUUUUGGCAAUUCCAAUUACAACAGUUGCUUCUGAAUCAGCUUUUAGCACCGGUGGUAGAGUUGUGAGCCCACACCGUAACAAACUUCAUCCAAGCACAUUGGAGGCCUUAAUGUGCUGUCAAAGUUGGUUACGAGCUUACAAUAACAGUAUGAGUUUAUUUUACAUUGUGAUUAUAUUAUACAGUUAUUAAUAUUUGCACUUAUAAGUUACUUUACUUAUAUUAUUUUCAUUGUUUUAUAAUUAUUUUAAUAAUUUAUAUUUUGAAUGUGACUUUGUAAUGGAUCAAUAUUAAUGUAAGAUAUAUUUUGAACUUUAUUUUUAUCUGAAUUUUUUAUUUUAAUAUGAUUAAUUUAAAAUCGAAAAUAAAAAUAAUGUAUUAGACUAUUAGUUAUUCGGGGACCGGGAACCCUCGGGGAUCCCCUGUUAUUAUUCAGGGAGGGGAUGAAGAUUCUCUCAAGUAAUUCUGACGGGGACGGGGACAUAUGCAAAAUAUCGAGGAUGGGUAUGGGGAGAUUGGUCCCCUCCCCUCCCCUCCCCAUUGCCAUCCCUACUCAAAUACAAGCUUUUAGCGCGGCAUGCAAAAUAACCCCGUUUAAAUCUAAUCACACCUCUCUAUUUUUUUUUUUGGGAAAAUGACACAUAGACCCUCAAUGUUUGAAUAAGGGACACAGAGACUCCCAGCGUUUGAAUAAGGGACACAAAACCCCCUAAUGUUUUAAAAAAGACACUCAGACCCCCAUUUGUUAACAGAAAUUAUAAUUUUAAAGUGCAAUUACCAUUAUACCCUUAUAGCAUAUUAAAAAAUAAUUGUUCAUUGUCCAAUUUAUUCCUAUAUUAUUAAUAAAAUUACGAAUAUAACUUCAUUAUCCAAUUUUUCCAUUUAAUUUUUGUCAAAUUUUCUCUUCAACUAAAUAAAUUUAAUCAAUUGCUCAAGAAUAAAAAUAAAUUAAAUUGAUUACUAAUAUAAUAAAAAUAACAAUUCUCAAUAACAAUUCUCCAUUUAAACUUAUAUAAUCAACAAAAUAAAAAAAAAAUUGGUUACAACAAUAAUUACAAAAUCUUAAUUGUACUAAAUAACAUAUUCAAUAGAUUGAUAUAUGGAGAAUUUUUAUUUUUAUUAUAUUAAUAAUCAAUUUAAUUUAUUUUUAUUCUUGAGUAAUGGAUUAAAUUUAUUUAGUUUGAAGAGAAAAUUUGACAAAAAUUAAAUGGAAAAAUUGGGUAAUUAAGUUAUAUUCGUAAUUUUAUUAAUAAUAUAGGAAUAAAUUGGACAAUGAACAAUUAUUUUUUAAUAUGCUAUAAGGGUAUAAUGGUAAUUGCACUUUAAAAUUAUAAUUUCUGUUAACAAAUGGAGGUCUGUGUGUCUUUUUUGAAAUAUUAGGGAAUUUUGUGUCCCUUAUUCAAACGUUGGGAGUUUCUGUGUCCCUUAUUCAAACACUGGGGUCUCUGUAUCCUUUUCACUUUUUUUUUUCGCCCCAAAGACGUAAUGGAGUAGUCAAAGAGUAUAACCAUUAGAUUCCUUUCGCUUCUUUGCUUUUUUCACCCCCACUUUCUGAGAAGACCAAGACUUGCUUUUGGAAUACAUAUAAAUAAAUCCGGGGGAGCUGGAAGUUGCAUUUUUGUUUUCCCUUUGAAUCAAAACACUUCAUCGGAGUUGAUCAGAUCAAUUUGGUGGCUUCUUUCAACACACUCAAAGCUGUAAGUUUUAUUUUAUCCUCAGAAUUAAUUUGCACAUUCUGGACGUUUAGAACAGGAAAUAUAUAAAAUUGAAAGAAAGCUUUGAAUGUUUAAAUUAAUUUGUAUAGUAUCAACUCUUUAAUUUGCUUCUCUUUGAGGCUCUAAUUAAGAUUUGCUUGAGUAAAGGUCGGCAAACACACUAUCCAAUCAGAAUCUGAGAAACUUUUUAAUUAUAUUUUGGAAGUAAAUGAGAGGCUGUUAUUAUAUUUUGGAAGUAAAUGAGAGGCUGUUCAUUAGUUUGUUUAGUUAAGAAGAAGAUCAUUACUUUGUUAUUCAAUAAUUCUGUGCUAAAAGAAAUGAUCAUAGUUAUUAUAUUAUAUUAUAUUAUUUUCAUUUUUGUGCUGCCCAUAAUCUUGAAUGAAUCUUAUUGUUUGCAUGGUAUUUUACGCUCACUGGAUUUCACUUGAUUUAUUCUAAAUUUUUAGGAACAAAUUAAUAUAAUGGCUUCCACGAGCUUCCAAAAUGUCUCUCAUGGGGAAUACGAUGCCUUCUUAAGCUUUAGAGGAGAAGACACUCGUAAAAGGUUCAUAGGUCAUCUCUAUACUGCUUUGAACAAUAAAGGAAUUUAUGUAUUCAGGGAUGACAAACAACUUGAGAAAGGAGGAUCCAUUUCACCAAAUCUCCUUAAAACAAUUGAAGAAUCGAGAAUUUCAAUUAUUGUUCUCUCAAAAAAUUACGCUUCUUCCACUUGGUGCUUGGAUGAACUUCUUAAGAUUGUUGAAUGCAAAAAUAGAGAGGAUCAAAUUUUUCCAAUUUUUUAUGAAGUGGAACCAACUGUUGUAAGAAAACAAACAGCAAGUUUCGGAGAAGCUUUUGCUAAAUAUGAAGAAUUUUUCAGGGAUAAUAUAGAAAAAGUGCAAAAGUGGAGAUACGCUUUAAAGGUGGUGGCCAAUAUAUCAGGCUGGGAAUUGAAGGAUAGGUAAUCAUUCUUUUUCUCAACUAUUAAUUUUGUUUGUCUUGCAAGAUUAGUAACUACAAAACAGAUUUUAAUAUUCAUUCAACACUGUUUUCAAUUAAACAACUUCUAUUUAAUACAUAUGCAUAUCGUAUGAUGUGUAGUAAAAGGGUUCCUCCCGUGAAUUGAAUAUUUUUAAAUUAUACCUUCACUUUUGAAAACUUCAAUUUACCUCCCAUUUUUGUUAAGAAUACAAAAACAUUUCAUCAACUCACCCCAUUUUUCCUUCUCUUUUGAAAAAAAAAUAGGGUAAUUGAGGUUGUUCAAAAGGGAGUGAUUUGAAGAUAUUCAAAUCACGAGGAGAAUAAUCUAAAUUUUAUGAAUGAAUUAAUAUUUGCAAACAAAGAGAUAUGGACAUUGAUAUGUUGAAUUAUUGUAUUUUGAACUUUUCAUGACUAAAAGUUUUUAUGUUGUGAUGCUUUGUGCUAUCAGUUUUGCAAAAAAAAAAAAAAGUAAAAUAAAACUUUAUUCUUAGAUUAUUGCCCAAGCUUAGGCAUCUCAAUAUAAUGAUUUAAGCUUGUGAUUAUAAUUUUAGUCCAAAUUUAUUUACUGGAUUAAUCUAUCCCCAUCCUUGCUUGCAAAUUGCUCUGUUUUGUGUCAUUUUCUAUUUAUUUUAAUAUAAUUUUCUUCUAUGAAUUGACUCUUGACCUAGAUUGCAAAAUACUAAUAAUAACAAUGGCAAUAAUCGCAAUACGAAUGAUAUCAAUACGAUCACAUAUUUAGCUAAUCUAAUUGAUUUAAAUUGUCUUUUAAACUAACUCAUCCUGUUGUAGAAAGAAAUAAUAUAUAAAUUUUGAAAUUACCAAUCACAAUGCAACCCAGUCCAAUCCAAUUUUUAUUGGGUUGGGUUUGAAUUUCGCAUUCCAAUUGUUGUUGACUGAUGUAAUAAUAUCAUAUUAUUUAAUUAUAUGACUUCAAUUUGAUGAAAUGAAUAUUGCAUAGUUUGGAUUUUAUUCAUAAUAUGGAAUUGAUUUGUUACUCGUUCAUACUAACUUUGAUUUAACAAUACCAAUCUUUUCUUGUUGUUUUCAAUAUGCAGGAAUGAGUCAGAAUUUAUUGAGGAAAUUGUCAAUGUCAUAUCUAGUAAAAUUCGUUCAGAACCAGAGAUUCUUAAGGAGCUAGUAGGAAUGGAAUCACGCUUGGAGAAACUGAGGUUUCUUAUGGGUACGGGGUCUAAUGAUGUUCGUAUGAUCGGGAUAUGGGGUAUGGGAGGUCUAGGAAAGACAACUCUUGCAAGGGUUGUUUAUGACUUGAUGUCUCAUGAGUUUGAUGGGAGUAGUUUUCUUGCCGAUGUUAGAGAAAAAUUUGAAAAAGAAGGCAGUGAAAUCUCUUUACAAAAAGAAGUGCCCUAGAAAGACUAAAAAAAGAUCCUUCAAAUAAGAUUAUGAGUAUACUUCAAAUAAGUUUUGAAGGACUACUAGAUUCAGAGAAGAAAAUAUUUCUCGAUGUUGCAUGUUUCUUUAAAUGGAAGAAUAGAGAUGGUGUAACAAAAAUUCUAGAGGGAUGUGGUUUUUCCCCAGUCAUUGGAAUAGAAGUUCUUAUCGAAAAGUCUCUAUUAACUGUUGAUGAUGACAACACACUGGGGAUGCAUGAUUUGUUACAGGAAUUGGGACACCUGAUUGUUACAAGACAAUCCCCCGAAGAACCUGGGAAACGUAGCAGAAUAUGGAGGGAAGAAGAAGUGCGCCAGGUGUUGACAAACAAUACGGUAAGUGAAUUAUUAAAUGGAAAACUUGUUGAUGCUUGCUACUUUAUUUUUCCCAAUUAUAUCUCUGACGAAUUUUCAACAUCUUUACAUUAUUGUUUUAACUACUUAUUGUUUGCUUAUAAUUUUUAGGGAGGUGAAGUAGUGGAAGGAAUAAUAGUUAAUGCCUGCUUUCCUGAAGAUGAGGUUUACUUAAGUGCAAGUGCUAAAGCAUUUUUGCAGAUGACCAACAUAAGACUGCUCAAAAUCAGUAAUGUACAACUUCCUGAAGGCCUAGUAUACCUCUCUAACAGGUUGCAAUUACUUGAUUGGCAUCGGUAUCCUUUGAAAUCUUUGCCAUCAAAUUUGCAAUUGGAUAAAACUGUUGAUCUUAAAAUGUGCUACAACCGCAUUGAAGAAUUAUGGAAGGGAAUCAAAGUAAGAUCAAUUUUUUUUUUUUGGUCACUAAUUUAUAUUUUUCAGUGAAUAAUUGUUGAUAACAAUUUAUUAUUAUAGUAGUAUAUGAAUUAAGAAAUAUCAUUUUAGCUCCUUUUUUGUUUUCAACAGCCUUUAAACAUGUUGAGAGUCUUGAAACUCAGCCAUUCGGAGAAUCUGAUUAAGACACCAGACUUCACAAAGGUCCCAAACUUAGAGGUGUUGGAUCUUGAAGGAUGUACAAGGUUGCGUGAAAUUCACCAGUCUUUGCUACGUCACAAUAAGCUGAUCUUGUUGAAUUUGAAAGGCUGUACAAGUCUUACAACUCUUCCAGGCAAGAUUUUUAUGGAAUCUCUUAAAACGCUGGUUCUAUCUGGUUGCUCAAAAUUGAAGAAAUUUCCGGACAUUGUAGGAGGUAUGGAGUGUCUGCAGGAACUUCGUGUAGAUGGAACUGAUAUCAAAGAACUGCCGGUGUCAAUUGAGCUUAUGUCUGGCCUUGUUUCGUUGAAUUUGAAAGAUUGCAGAAAUCUCACGACUCUUCCAAUUACAAUAGGCAAUUUAGAGUGUCUACAAACGCUCGUGCUAUCUGGUUGCUCGAAAAUAGUGAAAUUUCCAGAGACUGUGAUAAGUGUGGAAGAUCUGUCAGAGCUCUUUUUAGAUAGAACUUCUAUCACAGAAGUGCCAUCAUCUAUAGAGCUUUUGACCAAACUUCAAUGGUUGAAUUUGAAUGACUGCAGAAGUCUCGUGAGACUUCCUAGCAGUAUAAAUGGUUUGAAAUCCCUCAAAACUUUGAAAUCCGGUGGCUUUGAGUUUUCCGUCUUCUCUGUCAGGUUUGUGUAGUUUAACGAAAUUGGAUAUCAGUGACUGUGAUCUAGGGGAAGGAGCAAUCCCAAGUAGUAUUGGCGACUUAUGCUCAUUAGAAGAGUUACAUCUGAGUGGAAACAAUUUUUUUACGCUGCCGGCAAGCAUCUACCGUCUUUCUAGUCUUUUGGGCAUUGAUUUAAAAGAAUGCAAAAUGCUUCAAAAUCUGCCCCGACUUCCAGCCAGUAUACAUUGGAUUUCGUUAAACGGUUGUGUUUCGUUGGAGACAUUAUCAGAUGUAUUAAAUUUAAACGAGCAUCAACUCCCGCACUUAAUCCUUAAUUGUGUGGAUUGCUUGAAAUUGGCUGGCAACUAUGAUUUGGCGCUUUCACUGCUGAAAGAGUACAUUAAAAAUUCUGAGGUCAGUCUCUCACUCUCACCUGUGCUAACAUUACGCCUAAAACUGAUGCAAUACAUGUUAUGUCUUUUUAUUUUAUUUAUUUACUCACUUUUUUUUUUCCGUGGGGUUACAGAAUAUGUCACUGUCGGACAAGUACAUUAAACAUGUAACGUCAGUUUCUUACACUCUCUCACCUGUCGCUAAAAUUAUGCCUAAAAAUUAGGCAUUGGUAUGGCUUUCUAAUAUAUAUAUAUAUUGUGGGGUUUCAGGGCCCUUGGAGAGAUUUUUGCAUUGUUGUUCCUGGAAGUGAAAUCCCAGAGUGGUUCGAGUAUCAGAAUAAUGAGGGUUCUUCAAUAACAAUAAGCACGCCUCCAAAGACGUAUAAGAAUAGUAAGCUUGUGGGAUAUGCUAUGUGCUGUGUUUUUCAUGUCCCUAAAUAUUCACUUCCUUUGGAUAAAACUGUUGAUCUUAAAAUGUGCUACAACCGCAUUGAAGAAUUAUGGAAGGGAAUCAAAGUAAGAUCAAUUUUUUUUUUUUGGUCACUAAUUUAUAUUUUUCAGUGAAUAAUUGUUGAUAACAAUUUAUUAUUAUAGUAGUAUAUGAAUUAAGAAAUAUCAUUUUAGCUCCUUUUUUGUUUUCAACAGCCUUUAAACAUGUUGAGAGUCUUGAAACUCAGCCAUUCGGAGAAUCUGAUUAAGACACCAGACUUCACAAAGGUCCCAAACUUAGAGGUGUUGGAUCUUGAAGGAUGUACAAGGUUGCGUCAAAUUCACCAGUCUUUGCUACGUCACAAUAAGCUGAUCUUGUUGAAUUUGAAAGGCUGUACAAGUCUUACAACUCUUCCAGGCAAGAUUUUUAUGGAAUCUCUUAAAACGCUGGUUCUAUCUGGUUGCUCAAAAUUGAAGAAAUUUCCGGACAUUGUAGGAGGUAUGGAGUGUCUGCAGGAACUUCGUUUAGAUGGAACUGAUAUCAAAGAACUGCCUUUAUCUAUUGAGCUUCUAUCCAAACUUGUCUUGUUGGAUCUAAACAAUUGUAAGAAUCUCAAGAGUCUCCCAAGGAACAUAAGUGGACUAAAAUCUCUGUCAACUUUGAAUCUCUCUGGCACUUCAAAAUUCAGGGAGUUUCCGGAGAUUACAGGACGCAUGGAGCAUCUGUCGAACCUUCAUUUGGAGGGAACUGCUAUUAGAGAAUUGCCAGUGUCAAUUGAACUUCUUUCUGGCCUUGUUUUGUUGAAUUUGAAGGAUUGCAGAAAUCUCUCGACUCUUCCAAUUACUGUAAGCAGCUUAAAAUGUCUAAGAACUCUAAAGCUCUCUGGUUGCUCGAAAAUAGUGAAAUUUCCAGAGAGUGUGAUAAGUAUGGAAGAUCUAUCAGAGCUCUUUUUAGAUAGAACUUCUAUUACAGAAGUGCCAUCAUCUAUAGAACUUUUGACCAAGGAAACAAUUUUUUUACGCUGCCGGCAAGCAUUAACCGUCUUUCUAGUCUUCGGAGGAUUGAAUUAGAGGAAUGCAAAAUGCUUCAAACUCUUCCUCGACUUCCAGCCAGUAUACAUGUGAUUUUGUUAGACGGUUGUGUUUCGUUGGAGACAUUAUCAGAUGUAUUAAAUUUAAACGAGCAUCAACUCCCGCACUUAAUCCUUAAUUGUGUGGAUUGCUUGAAAUUGGCUGGCAACUAUGAUUUGGCGCUUUCACUGCUGAAAGAGUACAUUAAAAAUUCUGAGGUCAGUCUCUCACUCUCACCUGUGCUAACAUUAUGCCUAAAACUUAUGCAAUACAUGUUAUGUCUUUUACUCACUUUUUUUUUUCCGUGGGGUUGCAGAAUAUGUCACUGUCGGACAAGUACAUUAAACAUGUAACGUCAGUUUCUUACACUCUCUCACCUGUCGCUAAAAUUAUGCCUAAAAAUUAGGCAUUGGUAUGGCUUUCUAAUAUAUAUAUAUAUUGUGGGGUUUCAGGGCCCUUGGAGAGAUUUUUGCAUUGUUGUUCCUGGAAGUGAAAUCCCAGAGUGGUUCGAGUAUCAGAAUAAUGAGGGUUCUUCAAUAACAAUAAGCACGCCUCCAAAGACGUAUAAGAAUAGUAAGCUUGUGGGAUAUGCUAUGUGCUGUGUUUUUCAUGUCCCUAAAUAUUCACUUCCUUAUUAUAUACGACCGGUUCCAUAUUCACUUCCUUCAAUAACAAUAAGCACGCCUGCCGACGUGAAACGUGUUGGAAUUUUGUUUAGAAAGCAAUUCGGUCAGGCAAUGUCAGACCAUCUUUUCCUAUACUACCUGAAAAGGGAACGUAUUAGUAAAGUGGAAUUUUCUUCGCGGUCGGGAUUGGAGUUGAAGAGGUGUGGUUUGCAUCCAAUCUACGUGCAUGAAGGGGAUAAGUUCAACCAAACAAUUGGUCCAGUUUGGAAUUUGAACGAAUUUGGUCACGAUUGUUCUGGUAUCUAAUUUCAACAUCCUUUACGCGUAGCCUUAACGAUGACUUAGACAGGGCAGAAGCCAGUGGAAGUUGCAGCGGGGAUGAUGCAGGAUCAACGACGUCGUCUGAGCGAAGCUUUCUAAAGCGAAGUCUUGAAGGAUAUGUUGGGGCGGCUGAAGCUAGUGGAAAUGGCUGCUGUAAUGAUGAUGAGGAACCACAACCUAAAAGAUUUAGACAACUCGAAUGAAGGGCACAUAUUUUAUUUUUCUCUGCAGAUCGCAUUUCAUUUACUUUCUUUNNNNNNNNNNNNNNNNNNNNNNNNNNNNCUUAAUGGUUAAACAAACACACUUAUACAAAAAUAAUUUCAAUUAGCAAAAGAAUAAUAAAAAGAAAGAAAAAAAAUUAUUUGAAUUUAACGUGGAUGCGGUUGAAGAACAUGGAUCAAUUAUGAUGAAUGCUCCACCACUUAAGUCUUAAUUAAUUAGCCAGAUCAAAAACAUUCUGUUAAGACUUGUAAAUAACAUUCAACAUUUUGUGGAUUUUUGGACUCAAAUAUUUUAAGAGAGAUAGAAAAUUAAUGAAAGUAUUUGGUAUUGGAUUUGAUUAUCACGUCAGGAUUAACAGUUAAAAUAAAAUCUCUUGCUAUAACUACUUAUCUUUUUACAUAUUUGAAUACUUGAAAGUCACCGAUAGAAUCAAUAUAAGUAUAUUUCUUCUGGAUUCUUCCUAGAUAAAUAUGCUUAAAUUUCUUGUUCCAAGAAGAAAAGGUAUUAUGUAAUCUUGGCAAAUACAAACACCAAGAAAAUUUUUUGAACAUGUCAAAGUAACAUAUGGCUGGUUAAGAACUCGAUCAACCUAAAAGUAUUUAUUUAAUCUUAGGGUGAUUGAAAAAAAUUUGACGAAUUACCAUUAAACAAGUAACAAAAUAACAAAUUCUUUUAAAAGAAAUUAUAUAAUAGAAAGAAGAAAUUAUCACAUAAAAAGGCAGCAUUCAAGACAUGCACAAUAAAAAAACUGAUAAAAUUUACAUAUUGAAAAAAAUUUGACGAAUUACCAUUAAACAAGUAACAAAAUAACAAAUUCUUUUAAAAGAAAUUAUAUAAUAGAAAGAAGAAAUUAUCACAUAAAAAAAAUGUUCCAGUUUUUGCCUUUAGCCUCUCCUCCCCAAGUUGUCGGGCAUGGACUUGCUUUCGCUUCCGAAAGGAAAAAAUAAAAUAAACAUAUGUAUAUUAAAAUAAUUUUAAUCUUCAAAAAAUAUUAUAAUACUUUACAGUAUUAUAUUAUAUUAAACUAAAUUUUAUAAUGGAUAUAACCAUAAUAUUAAAAUAAAUAUAUAAAGAUUCAAUUAUUUUAAAUUUAUAUAAAAUAAUUUUAAUAUUAUCAAUACAUGAGAUAUUUUUUAUUAGUUGUAAAAUCUAUUUAACCCAAAUAUUUAUUUAAAAAUUAUGUAAUAGAUAAAAAGAUAUUAUUAAAAUAAUAUUAUAGUUUACAUUUUAAAAAUUAUUUUAUACAUAUUACAAAUAUUCCAUUAUUUUUAGUCUAUUAGACAAAAUAAACUAUUUAAAGUAUAUUUGUAUUUAUUAAAAAUAUUUUAACGUUAAUUUUUUCAAAGUUACUACCUAUGUAGGGUAUUAUAGCCAAAAGGGAGUUUAGGUAUCCUUUUGCUUUUAAGUUAUUUUAUCUUAAAUUUUUAAUAAAAAAUUGAAAUUAUUGAUUUCACGCAAUUCAGUGACUAUGGUGGAUGAUUUAACAUCGUAAAAUUUUACAUUGACUUUUAAUAUUAACCAUUAGAUUAUGAGAGAUUAAUGGCUCAUUUUUUGUGUCAAAAUUUAAAUUAAAAUAUCCAAAACCAUGCUUUUAUAACGAGAAUAUAAAAUAAAUAGAUAAUAUUUCAUGAAUAUUAUUGGAGGUAAUAUUUACUUAUUAUAUUAAUUACCAUCAUAAAUGCAAUCAGCCUCUUAGUGACAUAAAAUUUUGUAACCACAAUCAAUGAAUAUCAAUAAAACAAUCUUUCAUGAUUCAUAAACUAUAUAGCUAAUUAAGAAUUUAUGUUAAUUUCAACUUUACGAAAUCAACAAAGUGAUAUUGGAAAAUUAAAUGAAAAUAGGCUUGUAAAACUUAAACUUAUAUUCCUACCAUAUAAAAGUAUUCACUGUAACAUAAUCCAUAAUUUCAUGGUAUAGGUUAUGCUAAAUUGAUGUGAAAAAUAAUAUACACUUCAUGAUUAAUCAUUCAAUAGUCCUUAAUAAUAUACAAAAUAGUGAGCAUUAUGUUAAAUUUUAUUAAAGCAUGAAAAAGGUGAAGAAUGACAGAGGCAGCAGCUGCAGACAGUGGACGUGAGGUGGCUUCGGGUUUUGCUAUUUUUCUAACUUUUUCUUCUUUUUUUUUUUUUUAUGAAAGCAAUGGAUGAUGGAGGGAGGAUUUGUGUAUGGGGAAUGGUUGAUGGUCAGGAAAGCUCUGCCUAAUACAAAGAAAGACUUUGAUACCACUUGACGCAUCGCAGAAGACACUAAAUUUCAUUAUAACAUACGUUCUUAAAAAUUCAAGAAAAAAAGGCUCUUACGAAGAACAAAGUAUCUCAAUUAAGAAAUAUUAAAUAUUAUUGAUGAGAAGCUUAUGUAUGUUAUAAAGAACUAUCAGUAAGAAGCCUAUAUAUACUAAGUAGCCAACUUAAUCUUAAUCCUUCUUAAAUAAAAUAAAUAAUUUAAAAUCCUAAUUAGAUUAGAAUUCCAAACACGAUCGAAUAAAUUUAAAAAAUAAGAUAAAUUCUAAUAAAAUACUAAAUACUCAAAUAUUAUAAUUCCUAAUAAAUUCUAAUUUAUUUUAUAUAAUAUGCUUCCUACAUUACUUCAUCGCUAUAUUGUCUGAAUCGAUAUCUCUUUUUACACUAGUAAAAAAAUGGCCUCCUUUGAUACUAUUUUGGUAUCAAGAACUUGUUUUACUGACACCGAGUUUAGUGUCACUGAAUACGGUGCAAGAAACUUACUGACACGAGUUUUUUGUAUCAGCGAAUCUAUGUCACCGUAGUAUCAAAAAAAUAUUGAUGCUUGAACAUCACAUAUAUAACGAGACUAUGGUAUCAAACAAAUAAUGAUACAAAAGCAUAAUAAAUAUAACGAUACUUUGGUAUCAAUGUUUAUUUGAGAAAAAUUAAAAAAAAUUAGAAAUCCAUAUAAUAUAAAUUGAACAUUUGCAAUUGGCAUUUGAAUUGAAAUUUACAUUCAUCAAUAUGAAAACUAUUACAUUGCAAUGAACAAUUUAAAAAUUAUUACAUUGUUUGAAACUUAUUACAUUGUUUACCAACUACAAAUAAUUUAUAAUCUGAUAUAUAGUAACAGCACAAUCUUCCAACACAUGUUUAUUGCUUCGCGGAUUCUUUCUUUCGGUAAUCGAAAUGAGGUCUUCUAUUAUUGUUUCCAUGUUCCAAUUUGACAUUUGCUCUGAUUAUUUAGUUUUGACCCACAUACAUGCUUUGGUUUAUUGUAAGUCAUCCGGCAGCAUUCAAGACAUGCACAAUAAAAAAACUGAUAAAAUUUACAUGCUGCAAUCUACAUAGUUUCCUAAUGGCAUAUAAAUGCAUGCAAGACAAGGAUAUUAUAUUAACAAUAAAAAUUAUUUUAACCGUUGUCCAAGAAAAAGAGGAGAAAUUAUUAACAACAUCAUGAGAGGAAGUCUAACAAUACAGUCAAACAAACAAAAGAAAACCCAUGCUUGGUUGUAUAACAAGCAUGGAAAGUUCAACACAAACACAAACACAGAGACCAAUGGAGUUAACCAAAGUAAUGAAGGAAUUUCUGUGCAACUGUCAGUGGACACACAGAGCAAUGUGUGCAUAUGAGCACGCACAAACAUGACAUUCAAGUGAAUAAAUUUAAAAUAUUAUAUCUGGCAAUUAAAUCAACACAAACAUGAGAAAGAAUAGAUCCAAUAAGGUAAAUCUAGACAACAAUGAUCAAAAAGCAACAAGACAAAAUUUGAGAAACAAAAGGUGAAAAUAAAAAUACCAGGCAUUUACUCCAGUAGCACCAUGGAUCAUAAAAAUUGACAGCUAAAAUAGGAUAC
rnacentral:lncRNA from 1 species